GGGGCAUCCCGUGGACAGUUGCAGCUGAGCAGCAAGACCACAAGGAUGGACAGCACUACUCUGUUUCUAUCACUUACUAGGACAAAUAUGUGCGCCUGAGGCAUGGUUAUGUGUUUCAUUGCUCAUCAAGAUGUUGCUCCUAAAGUUCCUCAUUAGUAUUCCUGGCAGGGAAAUGCCUUCCUGGCUGUAUGCAAUGGGCAGCAAUGGGGACACGGGGAUGGGUAGACCGUGGGCACAUCCCCUAUUAGCUCGCAGUGAUGCUCAGAGCUCAGCACAGCAGAUUUGGAACAUCCUCCAUUCACACACAGCUGCUGCUGGAGCAUCCGAAGGACUGAGCCUGCUCCCCCUGCCCACAUACCCCCAGUGCAGCCUCCCAAAGGCUUCUGAGCUUUUUCAGGUUGCAGGCACCCAAAGGAAAAAGCUUUGCUAAUUGUAGACUGCAUUUCUUUGCAAAGUAGAGAGAGUGCUUUUACAGAAAGAGGCUCUUUAUCAAUUAAUAAUCCUUCAUUCUGGAGUUUUGGCGGAGGGUUUCCUUUGAGCAUUACAGAAAACCAUACAGAAACAAAGUGAAAUGGUCUUUCCUCUUUGCCAUCUACAGACUGCGUCCGAGUCAGUGCUUGGUGUUGGCCAUGGCUGGAAAUAUUUCUCAUUUUAAUGUGAUUUGGGAUCUGGCUGUGGUGCUGAGCUGCCACCACCAGGGCCGGGGCAGGUCCCCAUGGGAUGUCCCCAUGUCCGUGUUUUACCCCAAGCUCAGGGCUCUCCGGGGCAGCUGGGCCAUGCUCACCCCAGGAGCAGUCCUUUGCGCAGUGUGUACCAAGGCAGGAGCAUCACGGAUAAAUCACUCAUCGCUGGGAAGACGGUAAUAACAGAAGCCUCCAGGGAAAUCUGCAGUACUGAAUAGCGAGUUCUUUUUUUUUUUCCUUCCUUUUCACUUGAAGUCACUUAACGAACCCUCAUGCUGAAAUCUUCAGAAAGACUCACCUUAGGGGGUAUUGGAAAAUAUUGAUAAAUAGCACUUGGCACUUCUGAGGCUCUCAGCAAGUGGUACAGAUGCUGUUGCAGCAGUCGAACUGGAUGCCUCCACCCGUGGAAGUGCAGGAAAAGAGCGGAGGAGUUCAGCAUCCCCUGCGCAUCCUCUGCUCUUGUCUCUUGCCUCUCCCUACAGCCCGACCCCAGAGAAGGCACUGCCAUCCCCACAGAACCAUGUCUUUAAUCCCAAACUUUCCCAAGAAGCAAUCUAUUAGCUGUAAAGCAGUUUCCUCACUUUAUUUGCUGGUAAUUUACAGCCCACACUGUGAGACUGUGUAAUAUUUGCAAGCAAUUAAACAGAGGAUGACUCAACAACAGCCACCUCGGGUCAGAUUUUCAAGUGUUCAUCGUUCAUAAUUAAGAAGGAGCUUUCAACAGCAGUGGGGCCUGGGGCUGCUGUG
rnacentral:lncRNA from 1 species